GUACGGGGGGGGCAAGCGUUGUUCGGAAUUACUGGGCGUAAAGGGCUUGUAGGUGGCCAACUAAGUCAGACGUGAAAUCCCUCGGCUUAACCGGGGAACUGCGUCCGAUACUGGCGGGCUUGAAUUCGGGAGAGGGAUGUGGAAUUCCAGGUGAUAGCGGUGAAAUGCGUGAGAUAUCUGGAGGAACACCGGUGGCGAAGGCGGAUCUCUGGGCCAUUACUGACGCUGAGGAGCGAAAGCGUGGGGAGCCGAACAGG
rnacentral:rRNA from 1 species